AGAAAUACCAUCCACACUGAAGAGCCUAAAGCAUUGUCACCGCUGUGGGAGCGUGCACGUGCUCACAGUACUUCUGCUGGAGUGCUCAGGAGCCUCUGAACUGAUUCAACAGAGAACAUCAUGGAGAUUUUCAGAGGGUGCAGCUGGUUGGUGCGAGGAGUGACACAGCUAAUGACAUGUGGAUCACCUGAGGGCAGUGGGUGUGUUUUAAUGGUGGCAUACAGGGACCAGUGAGUGAAGACAGAAGAAUACACCAAGCAAUUCCAUGAACAGGCCACUGAAAAGUAUCAGUCAGGAGAUGGAUACUGAUAUUUUCAAAUCACAGGAAAUCCUUUGGAGUCCAGCUAAUCCUCCUGUGUGUUCCACAGACACUGGUUCUAAACAAUAAGAUGCAAAGAUCAGUUCUCUGUCUGUAAUCCAUGGAGUCAGUUAAAGGUGAAUCAUUUAUUUGAGACUGUUUCUGACUGUUUAAUGUAUUUCCCACUAAAAUUACAGAAUAAAACCCAUUUGAAGUUCUUA